GUGUCAGCAGCCGCGGUAAGACAGAGGGUGCAAACGUUGUUCGGAAUUACUGGGCGUAAAGCGCGUGUAGGCUGCUCGGAAAGUCGGAUGUGAAAGCCCUGGGCUCAACCUAGGAAGUGCAUUCGAAACUUCCGAGCUGGAGUGCUGGAGAGGAAGGCGGAAUUCUCGGUGUAGAGGUGAAAUUCGUAGAUAUCGAGAGGAACACCGGUGGCGAAGGCGGCCUUCUGGACAGCCACUGACGCUGAGACGCGAAAGCGUGGGGAGCAAACAGGAUUAGAUACCCGUGUAGUCC
rnacentral:rRNA from 1 species